rnacentral:lncRNA from 10 species
CUUUGGAGAGUUGUGAGGAGAUAAGUGACAUAAACUGGCAUGUUCUGAAAGAAUCACUCUGGAUGCUGUGUGGAGAAAACACUGAAAAGUCUUUAUAGGGGGAGAAUAAUUGACUCCAUUCAAGUGUUCGCUCCUGUUUCAAUCAACUAUGGCUGAAGAGUGAGGAGACAUUUGGAAUAAAUAUGGCUUCUGGGGGCCCAUUCCUAUGGAUCAGCAGCUGGCUUCUGGAGGCCCAUUCCUGUGAAUCGUCGAUCUCAUAGAAGAUAAUAUUGUUAGAAGGCUUACCUCAUUGAUGCUGAACAUCCUAAAAAGCUUCUGCUGCUUUGAGUCACUGAAAAAGACCAAGAAACAUGAAUUUAAAAAAAAAUUUCAAAUGUUAUAAAAUAAAUAAUAUGAACUCAUUAUACCUACAAUGAAUAAUUUAAAUUCUUCUUUGGUAGUCCAGGUAAAUAACUUCUCAAAUAGAUUUUUUUAAGCAUCUGUAUAAGUUCAAGAUGUACAUCACUUCAUGUAGAAUAACAUCUCCUAAAAAGAACUGAAAUGCCUCAGUAUACAACCAGCUGACCUGGCUAUCAAACACUUAUUUAGCACAUAUUACAUGAUGGACACUUUGAUGUAGAUACGGACCUUGGGUUGUGUCCUCAAGGAUCAUACAGUGGGUUGAGGAAAUAGGAUAUGCUAUCCAUAGGAAAGUAAAUAAUAAUAUGACAGCUUAUUUUCAAUGAGAAGUGAAUAGUACAAAGAAUAGGAGUUGCCAGAUUUCAAAAGGAAAGAGCUAUCACACAGAGGCGGAACAAUUAGAAAUUUUUCAUGAAGGAAGUGUUCUUUGUGCUGGACCUUUGAGAAAGUAUAGAAUGUAGAUUAGCAAAAAGGCAUGGAAAAGGCAUGAUAGGUAGGAGAGGCAAGUUAGGCAAAGGUCCAUUAGAAUUGCUCAAGAUAUAAUAGACCAACUUGGCCUGAAAAAGGCCUGGAAGUAUCCUCUUUUGUGCUCUGUGAGAAGUUUGCCACCAUGUAAAAAGUCUAACUACCCUAAGGCAACCAUGCUCUGAGAAGCCCAACCUAUC